UUUGCAACUCCAGCGCACGGACUUGCCAAAAUAAUACCUACAGUGCGUAACACAAAAGUCCGGCCCUCUGAGAUAAAUGACUAUACACACUUAAAACCAUUUCUUGAGCUCGGCAUAAUAAAAUGCCGAAACUGAUCAGCAACACGUAAAUUUGCUGAUUGCUCAGUAAUCAAUACGCAUGUUUCUGAACUUCGUUAAAUGCAUUCACUGAUAUUUCGGUAAAAUGCAUCACUUUGCCGAAAUUUGGCAUAAUUGCUUGCUGAAUUUAUCAGUAAACAACAGAUAUGCCGACAUCAGCAGAGACGUUUGCCGAGAUUUCGGAAUAUGCGCUAGCUGUUGCCGAGAUUCAGCACGACAGCUGUCAUUUAUUGCCGCGUUACAUUUUCGCUUCGCAUUGUGCGAUUAUUUUCUAAUGAAAUUCUCGAGUGAAAAAAUGGAGAAUCUUCGAAGAAGCGUGGAACCGUGUGGAAAGCGUCCUCGAGACAAAACUUUGGGGGAUAUGCGAAAAAAUAACCCAAUGCAAGGAAUAAUUCAAUAGAUCAAACUCGACUCAAGGUGGCCGCAUCUGGAAACGCCGCUUUUUAUUUAUGCUACAUGUUUUCAGGUAGGCUUUAAGCACUACUGGCAACAAAUUUGUAAGCCUCCUUUAAGUGUUAAUAAAAUGAAUUUUUUAUCCUGAA